AGUGAACGCUGGCGGCGUGCCUAAUACAUGCAAGUCGAACGAUGAAGUCCUAGCUUGCUAGGAUGGAUUAGUGGCGCACGGGUGAGUAAUAUAUAGUUAAUCUGCCCUACACAGAGGAACAACAGUUGGAAACGACUGCUAAUACCUCAUACCCCUAUUUGACAUAAGUUAAAUAGGGAAAGUCUUUUCGGUGUAGGAUGAGACUAUAUCGUAUCAGCUAGUUGGUAAGGUAAUGGCUUACCAAGGCUAUGACGCGUAACUGGUCUGAGAGGAUGAUCAGUCACAUUGGAACUGAGACACGGUCCAAACUCCUACGGGAGGCAGCAGUAAGGAAUAUUGCGCAAUGGGGGAAACCCUGACGCAGCAACGCCGCGUGGAGGAUGACACUUUUCGGAGCGUAAACUCCUUUUAUCAGGAAAGAAUAAUGACGGUACCUGAUGAAUAAGCACCGGCUAACUCCGUG
rnacentral:rRNA from 1 species